rnacentral:hammerhead_ribozyme from 1 species
GCACUGUUGAGGAGUCCCAAAAUAGGAUGAAACGACCGUCCAGUGC